rnacentral:rRNA from 1 species
GACGAACGCUGGCGGCGUGCCUAAUACAUGCAAGUCGAACGCAGUGGGGACGGGUGAGUGACACGUGGGUAACCUCCCAUCAGAGGGGAUAACACUUGGAAACAGGUGCUAAACCGAUACUGAUGGAUGAUCCCGCGGUGCAUUAGCUAGUUGGGGAGGUAACGGCUCACCAAGGCAACGAUGCAUAGCCGACCGGAGAGGGGGAUCGGCCACACGGGGACUGAGACACGGCCCAGACUCCUACGGGAGGCAGCAGUAGGGAAUAUUGGGCAAUGGACGAAAGUCUGACAGAGCCAUGCCGCGUGAGUGAAGAAGGCUUUCGGAUCGUAAAGCACUUUUGUUAGAGAAGCGGUAUCUAACCAGAAAGCCACGGCUAACUACGUGCCAGCAGCCGCGGUAAUUC